rnacentral:rRNA from 1 species
CCUACGGGCGGCAGCAGUGAGGAAUAUUGGUCAAUGGGCUUACGCCUGAACCAGCCAAGUCGCGUGAGGGAAGACUGCCCUAUGGGUUGUAAACUGCUUUUGUACGAGGGUAAACGCAGAUACGCGUAUCUGUCUGAAAGUACCGUACGAAUAAGGAUCGGCUAACUCCGUGCCAGCAGCCGCGGUAAUACGGAGGAUUCAAGCGUUAUCCGGAUUUAUUGGGUUUAACGGGUGCGUAGGCGGGCGGAUAAGUUAGAGGUGAAAUCCCGGGGCUCAACUUCGGAAUUGCCGCUGAUACUGUUCGGCUAGAGAGAAGUUGCGGUAGGCGGAAUGUAUGGUGUAGCGGUGAAAUGCUUAGAGAUCAUACAGAACACCGAUUGCGAAGGCAGCAUACCAAGCUACUUCUGACGUUGAGGCACGAAAGCGUGGGGAGCAAACAGGAUUAGAUACCCCUGUAGUC